rnacentral:tRNA from 6 species
GGGCGAGUGGCGGAAUGGUAUACGCGCACGACUUAAAAUCGUGUGCCGAAAGGCUUGAGGGUUCGAGUCCCUCCUCGCCCACAA